UUUUUGUGGAAAGUGAACUUGAAAUUUUGUAUUUUUAGGCAACAUAGUACUUUGUUAGGCAAAAUUUUAAAAUUCUGAAAUUUCCAUUGAAACUAUAAAGCCGAAAUCAGAGUUGCCAACAUAUAUAGUCUUGUUCACCAAUGUGUAAGCCAUAAGAAAAUGCCUGUUGACAGCUUGUAACAAAAAAUAUCAUCAGCGCGUACCUUUAAUGUUGGUCGGUCGUCUAUUGCAAGAACGCAGGCUAAUGCCCAGCAAACAUUUCUUAGAUAUACUGGCGUUUUGUCUUAUAGUCCAAAAUUACGAAAGAAGUAGAAUAAAUCAUAUCCGUGAUUUCUGGAUCGGAAUACUUUUUGCUAUUUGUUUGAAAUGAAGUGAAUGUUUCGGAAUUUUAAAUCAGUUUUAAAUUGUCCGUGAAUAUGUUUGAGACAGUAAAAUAAUAAAAGAAAUCCUACCUUUCAAGUUAAAUACAACAUUUUGUGCUUUUUUUGUUUUCUGGGGACGAUUUUUUCAAUAUUUCGUUGAUGUUCUCAUGGGCGAUAUUUGAAAACGCUCUAUCUUGACAUUGGCAUUAGCUAAUUAUGCAUGUGGAAAGAACGUUUUCAACGGAGAAGACUUGUUUAUUUUAAAUAUUACUACAUUAAAGGAAAAUGUACUUAUUUUUUCCAAGGUAUAGAUAAUUUUUUAAAGGUUUCCUCAAACUUAAAUCAAAUUAAAAGAGAGAAACAGGAUGUAUUUGAACGUGUAACAGAAUAUGUAUGUUUAUGUGUGCGACAGAGAACAGUAUUGAGUUCUGUAUUUGUAAAAAAUAAAAUAGAACUAUAACCAACAUUCUGCAACGUCAAUGAGCAUCGAUGAUAGCAAGAAGUAUGAAGCAAGCGAUAUGGCAAAAACAGAACGUCUGUAAAUACUUUGACAGAAUCACUAUCCAGAAGAUGAUCUUGAAAUAGAGACAAGAUGCAUUUGAACUUUUAAUUAUGAAAGCAUACUUUUCUACCUUGUGACACUGUUUAGGAUCAUCUCUUAAUUGUACGUAUUUGUGGAAAAUGACUUUGAAAUUCAACCACCAUUUUGCGACGUAGUUGAAUACUGACGAAAGCAAACAUUAUAAAUACUAUAAAUAAAAUGCCAACCUUUUGCUCCUGCCUUAACCUGGACGACGUAACAAUACGUAUUCCUCACUCGUAGGCUAUGUAUACUCUGAGUGAAUAAAGAAAUGAGGAAAAUUGAUUAAUGGCUAAUAUACUACUUAUAAAGAUUAACAUCUAUAAUAGUAUAUUCUCGUUCACUAAGAACUGCAAAAUCGUUAAUUCCAAUUAUAUUAAACAGUCGUAGAGUAUUGCAAAGGCAAAGGAUGGGUAAUCUGAUAUUACAAAAACCAGUACCCUUCAGUCGAGGAUUAAUCCAGGAUUGAAAGACUAAAUUUGAGUAACUGUUGUAUUCGUUGGAGAAAUAUAAAGCAUCUGCCAUAAGGAUCAAGUGUUGGUUCCUGAUUUACUAGUUCAACCAUCCAAAAGCAACUCCUUACUUUAUGGAAGAGUCAAAGGAUUAUAACUGUGUAACAGUUGGUGUUAAUUGCACUAGCUAGAAAUGAAACUUUUGUUCCUGUAGUCUCAAACGUUACCAUAUCAGGAGCUUCGAAAGUUUGGAAAAAACAUCCUGACUGUGUGCACACGAGUGUGGUUCAAUUGUUGUGUUGUUUGUACACAUGAAAAGUAGAAAUUUGUCAGUGGAAACCCGAUAUCAGAGGAACUAAAAAUUAAGAUUCUGCAAAAAAUCCACGAAAAGAAUUUUGUAGUCCACAAGGUAGUCCAAGAACUUUGCCGGAAUGUUGGUAGAUAACUAAGGAUAUUAUGAACAGAAACUUGUUCUUAAGACAUAUAGGCUUACAUUUUAGAGACAUUUCCUAGUAAUAUAUCGUUUAACAUCCUUCCAUUUUAUUGACUUUUUUCUUAAAUAACAAUAUACAAUAAAGUGUGAGAGAUGUUAAAAUUUUCAAUAACUGCGCAAGCUUUAAGAUACCAUGUAAAACAAUAUGUUGGUAGCAUUUUUCGUAAAUUUCUUUCUCAUUUUUCUUUUCGUUGCCAUCUUUAGGCCGUAGGAUGAGCAUCCAAAAGAUGCAAUUCCGUUGCACCCAUCGUGUAACUACGUAAUUUUCAUAUGAAUCAAUAGAUAAAUCCGUUGCUCCCCAAGCGAAACAGGUGCACAAUUGCGAAAAUAAUCCCUCCAAAGUUCGCUAUUUUCCUGCUUCGAAAUAUUCGAACCGCUAUUGUUUUGGUAGCAAAUACGCAUGCGCAAGCUAGCCAAAUUCGCACUGCGCACGCGCAGACGCGAAAAAUGGAUUUUCCCUGUGGGGUUUCCCCGAUUUCCCCCGUAAAAACAACAAAAUAAAAUCAGGGAAUAAAGAUCAAACCUUUGUAAUAUUAACGAAUAAAUACA
rnacentral:lncRNA from 1 species